rnacentral:sRNA from 1 species
AGAAUUCGCUGACAUUGUAUUUCUGUGUGUUCGCACCGCCUCGGGUGUGGGGGGGUGGAGAGUAUUUGUUGGCAGGAGGAGCUGGCUCUUGGACUCGCACGCAAUGUACUAGGCUGCGCUCCAGCUUACUCAUUAAUCCAGAGCUAGCAAGCAAGUACGCACCUACUUCGGUUUCGGUGCCAGCUCCACCGAAUUCGGUACGGGUAGGAAUUGACUCUUUUAUGAUUCUAUUGAAUUCUCGGAGAUUUAUCAUCCUAUCUGGGGCAUGCCUCGGACCGUUACGAGCAUGUUUUGUUGAUCCCUGCGGCUGUGGAUAGUUUCUCACGACCAUAUAUCCUAUUCGGUCGCGAUAGAACAAACCGAUAUGGGUGUGAAUGUUGGCAACAAUCCUUUGAGGAUACUUUCUGAUCUCGAACCGGUACCGGUCAGGGACUAUUUAAGUAAGCGGUGGUGGUUAUGGUUAACAUACGAAUCACUA